GAGCGGGGCGGGGCGGAGCGGGGCGGAGGGGCCGAAUCACCCGCGGCCCGCGUUGCCGGGCCAGGACUCUCGGGCCGCGGUGGACGCCGCGCCGCCUGCACGCGGGCGCAUGCGCCGCUGCCUCGGGCCGCGCGUGGGCUCGCUCGCGCGUGCGCCGCUCCCUCCGGCCGCGCGUGGGCUCGCUCGCGCGCCUUCCUCCCGGCGCGCGGCCCGCAGCGGCCUCCCGCAGAGUUUCCGGCAGGACCGCAGGAAGCGCGCAUGCGCGGCCUCGCUCUGCCCGCAAGCUCUGCACGGGGCAAACUGUGUUCCUUUCCACUUCGGGACUGCAGGGGCUGGUUCGGUUCACGGAACUCGGAGGUUUUCCCCGCCCAGAGCUGAUGCGCACAGUUGAACAAGAGCAACUCACGGAAGAGGUUGUUUUUAUAAUUCGUUGCUGAUCCCUUUUCUCCUCAUUCUGUGGGAUUUACCCAGCUGCUAGCCCCACUGAGCACCCGGCGAUAGCUGGCAAACGUCAUCUACAGUCGGGAGCAUCACCUCGAAGGGGGCAGGAGGGCUCCAGGUCAGAGACACGUCGGGGAGACCGCCUCUGCGUGCUGUCAGGACGGACUGGCUGUGCUGUGUAACACACACGCCCAAACCCGGAGUCUCACACAAGUCGCCUGCGGUGGCCUCCGACCCCCACGGGCCUCAUUCCUGGCGCCUGGUCUCAGGCAGGCCGCAGGUCCAGUCGGGAAGAAAGAACGCGGAGAAUCAGGAACCAGCUUUUCAGUGUUCGCCCUUGGGUGACACAUGGCCCUUCUGACGAAGGUCACGGUGAGGCGCGUGCCUGCUUCCUUUCAAGGGGGUGGGGGAGCAGACGCCGUGUCACAAUUGAAGCAGAAAGGUGCGGGGCCCGGACUGGGGGCUUCGGCCACGGAGGAGCACGCUCUGACGCUAGAAGGCACGGCGCGGGCGGCAGCUUGCAGUAGUUAAGGAGCCGCGGCGGUAUUUGGGGCGGACGCUCAUAUUGCCCCACAGACGAGGACCCUGAAGCAGGGCGAGACCCCUCGGCCUCGACCAGAUUCGAUGCCUGAGCUUCCUUUGUGAUGGAGACGGCGGAGGAGCUGGGGAUGUGGGCAGGUGGGGAGAGCUGGGCUCUGGGCCUGGUGACAUCCGGUCAGUGAGGUUGGCUGGAGGCAGCAAGGACACACAAAGGAGGGCAGGAGGGUGAGAGCCAGCAGAGGAGUGACUCCGUUUGUGCGACUGGAUAACAUUUCCCAGAUUCUUCCUUUUUAAAAGUGAAGCAGAAUGCAAUUGAUUUUAUUUUUAUAGGCAAGAAAUGUGCACGGCACCGAGGACCCCAGAGUACCACCCGGUGCUCAGUGAGACGCAGGUCAGGGUCCAUCCCUGAUCCUAACCACAGACUCAGCUUUUGCCAAGUCCUCCUGGUCCUGCGGGUGUUGGUCCCGUCAGGAACAAGUUUGGACAGCAAGAAAGAGGCCGGCCUUCUUUUUUUCCGUGAGCUCGGUGACUCUUGUCCCGUGCGGGAUCUGUUCACACCACACUCGUCCCUCUGGCCCAUCACCUGCACCCAGCCUGGGCUGGUCCAGGCUCAGCUUCCGUGUCUCUGGAGCCUGGCCCAGGAUGAGGGGGCCAGGGUGUGGUUCCCCAGGUCCCCUGUGCCAGGGACACAGGGCUACGAUCCCCCGGGGGGUCUGGCCCCAGAUCAGGAGGACGGGGUGGUUCCCCAUGCCCCCCACGCCCCAAGAAAGGACACAGGGCUCCACUCCCUGGAGGCUGGCCCAGGACCUGGAGGAGGGGGUUGUUCCCCAUGCUGACCCACUGGAAGCUGACCCCGCGUGUGUGCUCCGAAGGGCCCUGCCAUCUGCAGUGGAGAUGGGUGUGCACAGACCCGUACUGACACUUCCCGUUGGCCCUGCUCUGUCAUGCUCUGUUGGGACCUCGUGUCCUCCUGUGGACCCAGCGGACCUGUCCCGAGUGCGGCCUCUUUCACCAUCCGUCCAUCCAAGUGGCAGUGGCCUCCUAAGUGUAAGCCAGUGACAUCCAGCUGCAUCUGGAAACUCAGCCCCGGGACAAAGUCCAGAUCCCCUCAGAGGACCCAGCAGAGGACCCACCAGCCGGCAGGGCUCCCCGUUUCUCCUGGACACACUUCCCUCCGCCGCCGACCCUGCCUCCCUACAUCUCCCUCCACCGAGUCAGUGCUUUCCUAUUUCCACCACGGUUGAGUGAAUACGGUCCCCACGGCCACAUCUGGAGAUGAUGCGGCAAGGAGCGUCUGUGGAGGUAACUGGGGCUAAGGGAGCCAAUGGGGGGACCCGCGUCCUCAUGAGAAGACAGACACACAGAGCUAGCCCCCCCCCCCCCCACCGGGCACAGGGGAGGCGGGGAGAAGGCACUGUCCCAGGUGACAGCGCUCACCUCCGGGACCUGGCCCUGCCCCUCGCCUCAGGUCCCACCUCCGGUCCUGAGAAGUGUAUGGGCUCUGCUGGCUGCCCUCCCGAGCACCAUGCGGGUACCUGUGGGGCUGGGAGCUUCAGGGAAACCACACCUCUGCGUGUGUUCUAGGGGGGCCGGGGAAGUGACAGUUGGAGAGAAGCCCCCCACCCAGGGUGUGGCCUGGGCGGGGCAGGGGGGGGGGAUCGAGGAGGGAAGCCAGAGAUGAAGCUGGAUGUUGUGUAGAACGAGAGAGGGGAGACACAAAGUGGAGGAAUUGUUGAGGGAGAAGGACUUGGAGAUUUGGAACAUUUGAGAAACCGUGUCCUGGAGAGAACACUGAGCAGGUGGCUGGGCGUCCACGGAGCCAGGGGCAGGCAGGGCUGUGCUGGCAGCCGCGGGUUCACUAAAGGGACACGCAGGUGAUACAAAGGGAGGCUACCAGGUCCCCAGACUCUCCGGGUCGGUCGAUGGGUACCCCACUGCCACCGUGCAUCACCCUUCAAGCAGAGACUAACCCUGAUCUGUGGGUCCUCUGGCGUGGUCACCCCCACUCUUCCUGGACCACGGACACUCCCACAUGUGGCUCCAUCUACCUCCCUGAGCUGCAGGCCCAGAACAGCACCCACGGCUUCUGGGGGCCCACUGGGCCGAGGGUUGGGGACCCCAGAGAUGGAGCCCCGGGGCCUGCGCCGGAAGGCACCAAGGAGGCCCUGUGCCG